rnacentral:lncRNA from 1 species
CGUCCAUAGCCCUCUUCAUCACCAUCACGAUACUUAUUACGAUCCUCGUCGUCGUCAUCACUGCGGCGACUCCCAUAAGAAGGCCUCUCAUAAUCUCCUCCUUCAUGGCUAACCCUCUUAGGUGAAUCAUCUCCAUAACUUGGCUUCUCAUGAUGGCUCCUUCCUCCAUACCCUUCUCCCUCUUCCUCGUAACUCUGCUUCCUGCCAUACCCAGACACAUGCUCCGACCCACCUUCUUCAUAUUCGGACCCUGGCCUCCUCAUGUUGGCUCCUUCAUAGCUAACCCUCUUAGGUGAAUCAUCUCCACUACUUGGCUUAUGUUGGCUCCUUCCUCCAUACCCUUCUCCCUCUUCCUCGUAACUCUGCUUCCUGCCAUACCCAGACACAUGCUCCGACCCACCUUCUUCAUAUUCGGACCCUGGCCUCCUCAUGUUGGCUCCUUCAUAGCUAACCCUCUUAGGUGAAUCAUCUCCACUACUUGGCUUCUCAUGUUGGCUCCUUCCUCCAUACCCUUCUCCCUCUUCCUCGUAACUCUGCUUCCUGCCAUACCCAGACACAUGCUCCGACCCAUCUUCUUCAUAUUCGGACCCUGGCCUCCUCCCAUGCCCGGAUCCGUACCCCGUCUCAGUCCUCUCUUCAUGUUCGCUGGACUUCUCGUACCCAGACCCGUAUUCAGAUUCGGGAUUCCUCCCAUAACCCGAACUGUACUCACUUGGCUUCUCAUAUCCAGAACCAUAUUCAGAUUCGGGUCUCCUGCUAUACCCAGAUCCAUAUUCCUCACUCUGAGGUCUCUCAUAGCCAGACCCGUAAUCCGAUUCUUGUUUACGUCCAUAACCAGACCCAUGCUUGCUCGGCUUCUCAUAGCCAGAUCCAUCUUCGUACUCGGGUCUCCUCCCAUACCCGGAUCCAUACUCGCUAG